GAUGAACGCUAGCGGCAGGCUUAACACAUGCAAGUCGAGGGGUAUAGUUCUUCGGAACUAGAGACCGGCGCACGGGUGCGUAACGCGUAUGCAAUCUACCUUUUGCAGAGGGAUAGCCCAGAGAAAUUUGGAUUAAUACCUCAUAGUAUGUGAGAAUGGCAUCAUUUUCACAUUAAAGUCACAACGGCAAAAGAUGAGCAUGCGUCCCAUUAGCUUGUUGGUAAGGUAACGGCUUACCAAGGCAACGAUGGGUAGGGGUCCUGAGAGGGAGAUCCCCCACAAUGGUACUGAGACACGGACCAGACUCAUACGGGAGGCAGCAGUGAGGAAUAUUGGACAAUGGGCGCAAGCCUGAUCCAGCCAUGCCGCGUGCAGGAUGACGGUCCUAUGGAUUGUAAACUGCUUUUGUACAGGAAGAAACACUGGUUCGUGAACCAGCUUGACGGUACUGUAAGAAUAAGGAUCGGCUAACUCCGUGCCAGCCGCCGCCGUAAAAC
rnacentral:rRNA from 1 species